rnacentral:lncRNA from 10 species
UUGAGGAGAUGUAAUCUUCACUGGUCCCAGGUUACAGAAGCCCUGGAUGGUUAAUGGCCCAGGAGGGAUGCCAUCCUUAGUUUACAUUUGAGGACACUGAGGUGCUGGCUGUGAGCUUCAGAUGUAGACUUCUUGGUAAUUGAGUGUUCUUUCUACUAAAAUCAUAGAGCACAAGGGCAGACCACACCCUACCCAUCUCCAGACGUUCACACAAUAGCAGAGCAGGGUCUUGGCGCAAGC